AAUACGCCCGCGUUAGGGAUUGAAGCGGCAUCCUUUUUUAUACCAAAAUAACUUAAACGGCUUAUCUAAACAAUAAAUUGCUUCUAAAAACAAAGAUGCUGAACUAAAUUCAGCAUAAAAAAGAUAUAGCGGAAAGCCCGACCUUGG
rnacentral:sRNA from 1 species